AUUGAACGCUGGCGGCAGGCCUAACACAUGCAAGUCGAACGAGUGGCGGACGGGUGAGUAAUGUCUGGGAAACUGCCCGAUGGAGGGGGAUAACUACUGGAAACGGUAGCUAAUACCGCAUCCCCUCGGAUGUGCCCAGAUGGGAGGAGCUUGGAGUUGCGGUAACGGCUCACCUGGGCGACGAUCCCUCGCUGGUCUGCGAGGAUGACCAGCCAAACGGGAAGUGGGACACGCUCCAGCCUCUUACGGGAGGCAGCAGUGGGGAAUAUUGGACAAGGGGCGCAAGCCGGAUGCAGCAAGGCCGCGUGUAUGAAGAAGGCCUUCGGGUUGUAAAGUACGUUAAGCGGGGAGGCGUUACCCGAAGAAGAAGCACCGGCUAACUCCGUGCCAGCAGCCGCGGUAAUAC
rnacentral:rRNA from 1 species